GAUGAACGCUGGCGGCGUGCUCAACACAUGCCAGUCGAACGAUGAAGCCCAGCUUGCUGGGUGGAUUAGUGGCGAACGGGUGAGUAACACGUGAGUAACCUGCCCUUAACUCUGGGAUAAGCCUGGGAAACUGGGUCUAAUACCGGAUAGGAGCGUCCACCGCAUGGUGGGUGUUGGAAAGAUUUAUCGGUUUUGGAUGGACUCGCGGCCUAUCAGCUUGUUGGUGAGGUAAUGGCUCACCAAGGCGACGACGGGUAGCCGGCCUGAGAGGGUGACCGGCCACACUGGGACUGAGACACGGCCCAGACUCCUACGGGAGGCAGCAGUGGGGAAUAUUGCACAAUGGGCGCAAGCCUGAUGCAGCGACGCCGCGUGAGGGAUGACGGCCUUCGGGUUGUAAACCUCUUUCAGUAGGGAAGAAGCGAAAGUGACGGUACCUGCAGAAGAAGCACCGGCUAACUACGUG
rnacentral:rRNA from 1 species